rnacentral:rRNA from 1 species
UACGGAGGGAGCUAGCGUUGUUCGGAAUUACUGGGCGUAAAGCGCACGUAGGCGGCUUUGCAAGUUAGAGGUGAAAGCCCGGGGCUCAACUCCGGAAUUGCCUUUAAAACUGCAUCGCUAGAGUUGUGGAGAGGUAAGUGGAAUUCCGAGUGUAGAGGUGAAAUUCGUAGAUAUUCGGAAGAACACCAGUGGCGAAGGCGACUUACUGGACACAUACUGACGCUGAGGUGCGAAAGCCAGGGGAGCAAACGGG